GCCCCCUUCGUCUAGCGGCCCAGGACGCCGGACUCUCAGUUCGGAAACAGGGGUUCGAAUCCCUUAGGGGGUA
rnacentral:tRNA from 1 species